CUUCUUUGUGAAUUCUUUUAUUGUGUGCCUCAUUCCUUGAAUGACUGACUGCAUCUAUGGUGAUUGCAAUACGUUCUUAUCUCAACCAUUUAGAAAGAUCUCCAAAGCUGGAGGAGCCAUGAAACUCUCAGGAUGAGAUGCACAAGUGGCUGAGGAUGAUUUAGUCUGCUCUCAUGCUGAAGGUUUGUCUCCAGCUUUUCACCACCGAAAGUCUCCUCCUCUUUCAAAGUCAAUAUAUGGGAGGAGUUUUAUUCAAAAACUAAGCUUGAGGAGUGAAAGGACUGGUAGACUGAAGAACCAUACAAACUUUGCUGUCAUAACUGAGGUGUUGAAGCAACAGCCACAUGCAGGAGCCACAGCAGUUCUUCCCCUUCUGGCAGCAACUAUGAUUUAUUUCAGCUUGAACUGACCAGGGAGCCAAUACUGUGCUAAAAGGGUGGUGUGCAGGAAUAACAUCCCAUGUUUCAUGAAGGUUAUUAAGUUCACACACAUUAAGAUUAGUCGGGAGGGCUCAUACAUGAUACAUCAAGAGAAGGAGAGAACUAGAAAUGGGAAAAUCCCUCAUGGCCACGCAGGAAGAGAAGCAGUGGCAGUGCCCAGGUAUGUGCCAUACCUUAGCUUUUCUAUAUUGGUCUGCAGGUGAUUUCUCCUCAGUUACAUUUUUCCCAUGGUCAUGAUAUAGUUUUCAUCAGGUCAUACUCUAACUCCCUACUGCUUUCAGUCCAAUUUGUUAAGGUUAUUUUGAAUUCUAAACCUGUCUCCAAUCAAGCAGCAUCAGUCUGUCUCAGUUAUCUGUUGUCUGUGGAUUUAUUAGGUAUAUCCUAUAAUGCCAUUAUGUGGUUCUAUGAUUAGUAAAAUUUAUACUAAAAUUAUUAUUUUUAUUUAAAAUAAAAAAAAAAAAAUCAAUAAAAUCAACAAUUCUGAUAAAAACUAAAACAUCAAAUACUGAUAGAUCCAGACACAACUUGCAGAAUCUUUCUGGCUACAUCUGCCUUGACAGAAAAACACUGAUAGCUAUUUGCUAAGUACGUUCUUUCAGACAUCAGUCCCCUCCUUAUGUUUAGCUGUGGUACCCAUUAUUUCUUUCUUGUGAGAAUGUUAAUGGAAAUAGCUAUCUCAUGCAGUUAGAAGGGAUGAAUUUCAGACUCAAAAGAAUAAAGUACAAGGUGGAAAAAAUUCUUAAAUCUAUUGUCUUGUAUAUAACACUUUCUUAACACCACUUCCCAAGAAGAGAAUUAAUUUAUUAGAAGGUGUUACUGACGCACAUUGAAUACAAGUGAAAUGAAUCUUCUCUACUGAGGCUUAACUCAAUGACCUCUUGAUUGGAGUGAGCAAAAGCACACACCUGAUUAAUGGUGACAGUUCUGUCCGUGAAUGCUACCUCAUUUUUGGUCAUUUGUGUGGCUGUAUUCUUUCAUAUACUUUCCACAUGUCUCUAAAUAUAUUUCUGGCAGCACAGAAUCUGAGCUGGAUCUAAAUCCAUGCUAUUCCAUUCAUUGCUUGGGAAUUUCUCUUGUUUUGUAUCAGUCAAAUUGACUUACACAUUCUGUGUCUUGAAGGAAACAUAGUUUAAUUCAGGUUCAUUUCUGCUAUACCUUGAUAAAGUAACUGCAGUUCAGGUAUUAAGAUUUUUGCAAAUACUUCUUAGUCU